UGGGGAAUAUUGCACAAUGGAGGGAACUCUGAUGCAGCGACGCCGCGUGAACGAAGAAGGCUUUCGAGUCGUAAAGUUCUUUUAUAUGGGAAGAUAAUGACGGUACCAUAAGAAGAAGCCCCGGCUAACUACGUGCCAGCAGCCGCGGUAAUACGUAGGGGGCUAGCGUUGUCCGGAAUCACUGGGCGUAAAGGGUUCGCAGGCGGAAAUGCAAGUCAGGUGUAAAAGGCAGUAGCUUAACUACUGUAAGCAUUUGAAACUGCAUAUCUUGAGAAGAGUAGGGGUAAGUGGAAUUUUUAGUGUAGCGGUGAAAUGCGUAGAUAUUAAAAAGAAUACCGGUGGCGAAGGCGACUUACUGGGCUCAUUCUGACGCUGAGGAACGAAGGCGUGGGUAGCAAACAGG
rnacentral:rRNA from 1 species